CUUUUUCCGCACGUUUGCCAUAGUUUGAGAAUGAGAAAUGAGUAACCGUAUACAGACCAAUCGUUCUCUCUCCCAUCUCAAUGCCAAAAUCUCCACCCUCAAAAUUAUUCGUUAUCCACUGCUGCCUGCCUGAUAUUCAAUUUCUUCGUCUUCCUUCCUUUAAUCAUUAAACAUGCAACACACAGGUAAACAUCAUCCUUUCAAUUGACAAUAGAAGGAAAUCAAACGCAAUCUUUUGUGGGUCUCGAUGCACCAAGAAGAGGAAGGCAGGCAGGAUUCUCCACCAACAGAUCCUAAGAGUUGGUAUCUAUUUUGAUUGAACGGGAAUAACGAUAGAGAUAAUAGUGGUCGUGUAAUUAUACUUCAAAUCAAGGGAUUCGCACACGGUGCAAAGUGCUGCUGAUAUCAGUCUACAUUUUAAUAAUCAAAUAGUCAAAAUAUGGAGCGUUCCAGGAAUUUAGAGGAUUGUGUUCGUCAUUCAAGUGAUGGAAGCGCGAGGAUGUGGUUGAAGCUCAACAUAGGAAUUCAGCCAGUGAAGAUUCAACAUUUUUGUUUAUGAAAGACAAACAUUGCAAUUUGUACAGAUACAAAGAAAAUUGCCAACUAAAUUGGGCGGUGGAUUUAUGAGAGACAGGAGCAACAUUCUUAGUCAGAUGGUAGAUUUUUCUUUCACAAGAACAAUUCACUUAAUAUAAGCACCGUGUCUGAUGCUAAACCUAUUUUUAGCUCACAUCAGUAAAUUAUGUACAAACCCUCCCGAUUCAUAUAUCGAACCUGUUUUUGGUGGAGUUGCUCCUUAGUUUCUAGCUGAUUCCUACCAACCGAAAGAAUACUAUCAUGUAAAUUUUUCUGACAAGCGAGAUCUAGAUUCAUCUACAAUCCUUUAAAUACCAAAUUAUAUACUAGGAAUUUAAAAUACAGAAGAACGAGAAGAAUCAGAUAAUGGUUGGUGUUUCUUACACUAUGUUUGGUGUGCUAUGGUGGAUUUUUUUCCUUGGUAAAAGGUGGCUUCAGAUGGAGUUCAGCAAAGGAACACUCUUUUAAGGGUAAAUACUUUGUUCUAGGGGUUUGGCACACCAUUGUUAAAAUUUUAAAGAAUCCAUCCUUGAAGCUAAGGCGUAGAGAAAAAAAUUUAGAUAUGAAACGAAGUGGCAAGAAUGAAACCUUGCGGAGACUUCGAAAUUGGGAAUUGAAAUGCAGUCGUUGGCUGAGAUUUUGUUUGUUCGCCUAGAUUUUUCUUUCACAGUUGAAAGCACUAUUUGACUUUUCCUUGGUAAAAGGUGGUUUCAGAUGGAGUUCAGCAAAGGAACACUCUUGUAAGUGUAAAUACUUUGUUCUAGGGGUUUGGCAUACCAUUGUUAAAAUACUUUUAAGGGUAAAUACUUUUUCGUACAUGGUUAUCGUUUUUUUGAAGUUU